UACGAAGGGGGCUAGCGUUGUUCGGAAUUACUGGGCGUAAAGCGCGCGCAGGCGGUCUUCCAAGUCAGUGGUGAAAGCCCGGAGCUCAACUCCGGAACUGCCAUUGAAACUGUUAGACUUGAGGACGAGAGAGGUGAGUGGAAUUCCCAGUGUAGAGGUGAAAUUCGUAGAUAUUGGGAAAGAACACCGGUGGCGAAGGCGGCUCACUGGCUCGUAUCUGACGCUCAGGCGCGACAGCGUGGG
rnacentral:rRNA from 1 species